rnacentral:rRNA from 1 species
GACGGGGACCCGCACAAGCAGCGGAGCGUGUGGUUUAAUUCGUUGCUACACGAAGAACCUUACCUGGGUUUGACAUAUAGGUUGUAGGGAACUGAAAAGGGACCGACCCUUCGGGAGCCUAUACAGGUGUUGCAUGGCUGUCGUCAGCUCGUGUCGUGAGAUGUUCGGUUAAGUCCGCUAACGAGCGCAACCCUCGUCGUAUGUUAUACGUGUCAUACGAGACUGCCGGUAAAAGCCGGAGGAAGGUGAGGAUGAUGUCAAGUCAGCAUGACCUUUAUAUCCAGGGCUACACACACGCUACAAUGGUCUGUACAAUGGGUAGCCAAGCCGCGAGGCGGAGCCAAUCCUGAAAGCAGGCCUCAGUUCAGAUUGCAGCCUGCAACUCGACUGCAUGAAGCCGGAGUUGCUAGUAACCGCAGGUCAGCAAUACUGCGGUGAAUACGUUCCCGGGUCUU